AAUGAACGCUGGCGGCGUGCUUAACACAUGCAAGUCGAACGAGAAAGGGGUGGCAACACCCCGAGUAAAGUGGCGCACGGGUGAGUAACGCGUAGGUGACCUGACUUUGGGUAUGGGAUAACAGGGCGAAAGCUCUGCUAAUACCGUAUGAGACCUCUUUUAGGAGAGGUGAAAGGGUGCGCUUCCCUCGGGAAGCAUCUGCCUGGAGAGGGGCCUGCGUCCUAUCAGCUAGUUGGUGAGGUAACGGCUCACCAAGGCUUCGACGGGUAGCUGGUCUGAGAGGAUGAUCAGCCACACUGGCACUGGAACACGGGCCAGACUCCUACGGGAGGCAGCAGUGAGGAAUUUUGCGCAAUGGGGGAAACCCUGACGCAGCAACGCCGCGUGGGUGAUGAAGGCCUUCGGGUCGUAAAGCCCUGUCGGGCGGGAAGAAAGGAUCGGGUUCCAACAGGAUUCGGUUUUGACGGUACCGCCAGAGGAAGCACCGGCUAACUCCGUGCCAGCAGCCGCGGUAAUACGGAGGGUGCGAGCGUUAUUCGGAAUUACUGGGCGUAAAGCGCGUGCAGGCGGAAGGAGCAGUCUGAUGUGAAAGCCCGGGGCUUAACCCCGGAAGAGCAUUGGAAACCAUCCUUCUUGAGUGCUGGAGAGGAAGGGGGAAUUCCCGGUGUAGAGGUGAAAUUCGUAGAGAUCGGGAGGAAUACCAGUGGCGAAGGCGCCCUUCUGGACAGUCAAACUGACGCUGAGACGCGAAAGCGUGGGGAGCAAACAGGAUUAGAUACCCUGGUAGUCCACGCUGUAAACGAUGAGAACUAGGUGUGGCGGGUACUCAUUCCUGCCGUGCCGCAGCUAACGCGUUAAGUUCUCCGCCUGGGGAUUACGGUCGCAAGACUA
rnacentral:rRNA from 1 species